rnacentral:rRNA from 1 species
UACAGAGGGUGCAAGCGUUGUUCGGAAUUAUUGGGCGUAAAGGGCGCGUAGGCGGUGCGGUAAGUCUGAUGUGAAAUCUCCGGGCUCAACUCGGAGUCUGCAUCAGAAACUGCCGUGCUUUGAGUGUGGGGGGAGGUGAGUGGAAUUCCCGGUGUAGCGGUGAAAUGCGUAGAUAUCAGGAGGAACACCUGUGGCGAAGGCGGGUCUCUGGGCCGAUACUGACGCUGAGGAGCGAAAGCAUGGGUAGCGAACAGG